rnacentral:lncRNA from 1 species
GGAAAAUUUCCCGAAUUUUUCAUUGUACUAAUGAACUCAAAAUCGUUCAAUUUUUUUUUAUGUCAUGUUUUGAAAUCCCGGACCUGCGCAGAAAUGUACAAUAUACUUCCUUUUUCCGGUCUCGUUUGUAUGAAACUUUGAGUAAAAUAUAUAUUUAUCAGUCUAGUAUAAAAUAGGAAGGAACGCGCAAUACUUAUUUCAUUUUUUAAUAUUCCUUGAUAUGAAAAAACGUUACCUAAUGAUAGCGUUUCUUGUUUACAUUGCAUAUGACGUCAUAAUUUAAAUAACGUCACAACUAAAAUCCCUAACAACAGAACCAAAAUCGGAAACGUUACUGAAUUUCCGUGUCUUUUUUUUGACAAAUAAUUGAGUUACAAAAAAAUAAUUCAUACAGACUUCGUCCCCAUUUACAGGUAAUGCCUGCCUCAUAUUA